AAUCCUCCACUGCCACCAUCUUUGAGAAGAAUCUUCGUCAACAACCUUGAAGUACCUCCACCCUAAUACAAAGAUCCCGACUUUGCUCCCUAAUUACUCCAUCACCGUCACCGCCUCCCCAAAUUUCCAAGGCUAUUUGUCGAUCAACGAUCUGGGUAUUAAUCCUAACGACGUUCUAUGAUGGGUUGGUGAUCGUUUACGCAAUCGACAAGCUUUUUAAUUUGUCCUUCUUGGCCUCCGACGCCCCUCAAGAACCGGUGCCAGAUCAGCCAUCGAUGAGCUCUGUUUCGGGUGUUCAAUCGCCGAGCUCUGCUUCGAGUGCGCUUGUAAAUUACAACAUGGAGGCUAAACCGUAUCGGCCCGAUCCAAAAUCUUUGGGUUUCAUUGCCGAUUUGCUGAGAUCCAAAAGGUUGAUAUCAUGACAUGCAAGGCGGCCCUAAUUCAUCCAUGAUGUGCAAGACAAAUAUAAACGGUCUGGAUCCUGCCUCCAGUGAGCAAAUCAUUCAUCACAGCAACCAUAGCAGUUCUACUAAUUGUGAAUUUUGAAGCAUUCGUGUGCUUUAAUUGAUUAAAUAGGUUUUAAUGUAUUUUUUUUGGUCCGGCUCACCUCUGCAGGACAAGAAAAGCUCUGGAUCGACCUCUUCGGGAUCAAAAUAUGUAUCAGAUGGUCAGAAACCUAAGGCCAUCUCCAACUAAAUGAUGGUCAGAGAGCUCAUUUUAGCCCUCUGGUCCUCCAAGAAAUUAAUUUUUUAAUGAACAGUACAGGGCCAUAUUUGCCUCCAUCUCCAACCGAGGGUCAUAGGGCUCG
rnacentral:sRNA from 1 species